rfam:Spinacia oleracea cultivar SynViroflay scaffold17273.con0004.1, whole genome shotgun sequence.
UGGUGAAUUACAGUGCGAUUCUCCUUUGGCAUGCAGACAAUGAGACAAUGCAUAUGCAUAAUUUCUUCCAUGCCAAAGGAGACUUGCCCUGCCAUUCACCA